rnacentral:rRNA from 1 species
GACGAACGCUGGCGGCGUGCCUAAUACAUGCAAGUCGAGCGGAUGGAAGGAAGCUUGCUUCCUAAAGUCAGCGGCGGACGGGUGAGUAACACGUGGGCAACCUGCCCCUAAGAUCGGGAUAACUUCGGGAAACCGGAGCUAAUACCGGAUAUGAUUAUGUCUCACAUGAGACAUAAUGGAAAGACGGUUUCGGCUGUCACUUAGGGAUGGGCCCGCGGCGCAUUAGCUAGUUGGUGAGGUAACGGCUCACCAAGGCGACGAUGCGUAGCCGACCUGAGGGGGUGAUCGGCCACACUGGGACUGAGACACGGCCCAGACUCCUACGGGAGGCAGCAGUAGGGAAUCUUCCGCAAUGGACGAAAGUCUGACGGAGCAACGCCGCGUGAGUGAAGAAGGUUUUCGGAUCGUAAAACUCUGUUGUUAGGGAAGAACAAGUACCAUAGUAACUGAUGGUACCUUGACGGUACCUAACCAGAAAGCCACGGCUAACUACGUGCCAGCCGCCGCAGUAACAC